CAUCAAAGAACAACAGACAAACAGCAGUGGCUCCCUCUGAGAAGAGAAAGAAAAAGAUCAUCACUGAAAACACCCUAAGGGAAGGAAAAGGAUCAUUGGUCAAUGGUGCAGGGAACACUGGGAGAAGUUGGUGAUGCCUGCAGCUCUCAAGCAGAGGACCCUUAAGUAAACUUUCCCUGAAGUCACCUCUCCUCCCCUGACCUACCCUCCUUUCCCAUAGCACAUUAAUCAGAUAAGUCUUCAAUACCACAACCCAGUCUCACCUGAAAGGCAUCUGCCUCUUACUCCACAUGCUACAAAAUCAAGGUGCUAAGGAAGA